AUAACCGGCACUUAUAUAUAGUGAGACGUCAAUCGUCACUAUUUCUCAGUAAAUUUUUGAUUCAUCUGAUGAUAAACAAUAUUCAUCGAGCAAUCAAAUUUGUUUAUAAUCGGACUGAGAUACAAAAUGUUACAUCCAAAGAUAGUGGUCUUGAUACUUUCAAUUUCAGUAUUAUCUUGCCUAGCAGGAGAUAUCGUGAUAACUUCGAAAGAAGACCAUUGUAGAACAUUUACAUCUUGCUCUUCAUGUAUCUCUAAGAAUACUUGCACAUGGUGUGUCACCAAAAGUUUAUGUACGAAACAACUUUGCGGCAACGACAACGUGAUAUAUCCACCGCAAAUUCCUGCUCUCAUGUCUGGACCAGACUUUUGCCCUCGGGUUGCAGAAGCGAAAGAACUAACAUUUGCAAGCGGUAAGAAAGACAUCAUAACAGUAAAAAUAACACAAAUAUAUCUUUAUAUGGCUUUCACGCCGUGGAAGUGCGAGAUUAAUUUAAAUGGCGAAGAUGUUAUACUGCAGGCGGCUUUGAUUGGAGAUACGGUUUACUGCGAGUCAUUUGAAAUAAGAAACAAAUCUGAGAAUCCUUAUAUCGAAGGUAAUGUAAAAGUUUUAUGGAAUUACAAUAAGGUUUUCGACGGAUCACUCCCUUUUAAAGUUUGCCGAUGCGAUUUAGAGCCGAAUUGUGUCGCUUGUAAAAACGGAGAAAAAUAGAGGAUCGUGCAGCGCCUAAAGAAAUAAAACGUUUUGUGAACAGAGCUGCCUUCACUGAAAACAGUUUUAUACAGGAACGUAAAGAGAGCAACGGAACAAUACGUUAAAGUAAAAGUAUAUUCUUGUCAAAUUGAGAUUAAAUAUUAUUAACACAUA